AAUCACCUUCACACUUCACUUUUUCCUUUUUCAGUUUAUUUUCAAUGCACCACUUCCCCAAUUCUAGCUUUUCCGGUGAUAAACCUAAUUAUGACGGCUAUUUUGAUCUUUUUCCGAUUGUUUAUUUCGCCCCUCGCCUGAAAAUUUAUGAACCCGGCGAUCGGAGGGCUAUGAGAAUGUCAUCUAAUGACAGUGAGGGAACCAGACUAAUUUAUCGAUCAAGAUCGAAAAUAUCGAUCGUGCCGAUCUCGAAUUGGUCUAUCGAUACAAUCGGUAGACCGAUCUCGGACAAGAGGACUGCUAAUUUCAAUCUUAAUGUCGG
rnacentral:misc_RNA from 1 species